UCGGAACAUGUCCUGUAGUGGGGGAUAGCCCGGCGAAAGCCGGAUUAAUACCGCAUACGAUCUGAGGAUGAAAGCGGGGGACCUUCGGGCCUCGCGCUAUAGGGUUGGCCGAUGGCUGAUUAGCUAGUUGGUGGGGUAAAGGCCUACCAAGGCGACGAUCAGUAGCUGGUCUGAGAGGACGACCAGCCACACUGGGACUGAGACACGGCCCAGACUCCUACGGGAGGCAGCAGUGGGGAAUUUUGGACAAUGGGCGAAAGCCUGAUCCAGCAAUGCCGCGUGUGUGAAGAAGGCCUUCGGGUUGUAAAGCACUUUUGUCCGGAAAGAAAUCCUUGGUUCUAAUAUAGCCGGGGGAUGACGGUACCGGAAGAAUAAGCACCGGCUAACUACGUGCCAGCAGCCGCGGUAAUACGUAGGGUGCAAGCGUUAAUCGGAAUUACUGGGCGUNAAGCGUGCGCAGGCGGNUUGCU
rnacentral:rRNA from 1 species